UACGUAGGGUGCGAGCGUUAAUCGGAAUUACUGGGCGUAAAGCGUGCGCAGGCGGUUUUGUAAGCCAGGUGUGAAAUCCCCGGGCUCAACCUGGGAAUGGCAUUUGGGACUGCAAGGCUGGAGUGCGGCAGAGGAGACUGGAAUUCCUGGUGUAGCAGUGAAAUGCGUAGAUAUCGGGAGGAACACCUGUGGCGAAAGCGGCUCACUGGACCACAACUGACGCUGAGGCGCGAAAGCUAGGGGAGCAAACAGG
rnacentral:rRNA from 1 species